rnacentral:rRNA from 1 species
ACCCAGACUCCUACGGGAGGCAGCAGUGGGGAAUAUUGCACAAUGGGGGGAACCCUGAUGCAGCGACGCCGCGUGAGUGAAGAAGUAUUUCGGUAUGUAAAGCUCUCUCAGCAGGGAAGAAGAUGACGGUACCUGACUAAGAAGCCCCGGCUAACUACGUGCCAGCAGCCGCGGUAAUACGUAGGGGGCAAGCGUUAUCCGGAUUUACUGGGUGUAAAGGGAGCGUAGACGGCAGGGCAAGUCUGGAGUGAAAGCCCGGGGCCCAACCCCGGGACUGCUUUGGAAACUGCCAUGCUAGAGUGCUGGAGAGGUAAGCGGAAUUCCUAGUGUAGCGGUGAAAUGCGUAGAUAUUAGGAGGAGCACCAGUGGCGAAGGCGGCUUACUGGACAGUAACUGACGUUGAGGCUCGAAAGCGUGGGGAGCAAACAGGAUUAGAUACCCGAGUAUA